rnacentral:tRNA from 1 species
GGAAGAUUAACCCUAACGGUAAGGGAUCUCUUUGCUAAAGAGACAGUAGCCCCUGAAAAGGGGUGUGUCAGUUCAAGUCUGACAUCUUCCU